AUGUACGCAAACGUUGAUUCUAUCCUAGUGGGGUAGCGAGGUUGUUUUUGAUGGGGACAAAGGGAUCCAUUAUCUCUGAUAUUAUUCAUUUUAGUUAUGGAAGUUUUGAACAGAUGGGCAAGUUGUCAUGGAAGGUUACUUCAAGGACUUUAAUGCAGCAGUUCGGGUGCUGGGACAAUAUCGGUUUCUCACUCUUUGUCUGUGAAUAAUACCUUAGUUUUUUGUGGUGCAGAUACCAACUGGAUCAUUUAGGCCAAGUGCUUACUUUGGUUUUAGGUGGUGUCAGGCCUUCAAAUCAUUUAAGAAAGUGUGAGGUUAUACUAGUCGAGGAGGUGAUAAACAUCGAGUUGCAUGCUUAAGUUUUGAAUUGCAGGGUGAGGGCUCUCUUGAUUAUUUAUCUUGGAUUACCAAUAUCUAAACAUUUUUUGGACUUCUUAGACAUGCAUCGGGGCCACACAACUCCAUAAAUAUAAGAGCACCUCAUCUCCUGUCGUAGGUCAUCUCAACUGACGUUUACAACAACACCAUCCCCCGUAUAAUCCCACAAGUGGGGUUAGGGAGGGUAAGAUGUACGCAAACGUUGACUCUAUCCUAGUGGGGUAGUGAGGUUGUUUCUGAUGGGGACUAAGGGAUCCAUUAUCUCCGAUAUUGUUCAUUUUAGUUAUGGAAGUUUUGAAUAGAUGGGCAAGUUGUCAUGGAAGGUUACUUCAAGGAUUUUAAUGCAGCACUGCUGGGACAAUAUCGGUUUCUCACUCUUUGUCUGUGAAUAAUACCUUAGUUUUUUG
rnacentral:lncRNA from 1 species